rnacentral:piRNA from 1 species
AAUUCCUGCUGUGCGAGUAAAGC